UCCUGAGGACUUCCAAGUACCAGGCCCUGCGAUCUCAGAGCCACUUCUGUCCCAUCUCUGCCCUUGGAGGGGGAACAGGUAGUCCAGACAAUUAGAGGACAGAGGGGGCUGUGUUCUGACGGGGCCAUGCAGGCAUUGAGGAAACACAGCGGGCCCCUCCCCUGGCUGGGAUGGGGAUGUCUGUGUGCCAUCAUCUCACUCCAUCUGCUCAUUCCUUUGCUCAUUCAUCUAUCCAUUCAUUCGCGUCACCUCAUGCACAUUUUCCAAGGCUGCCUGUGGCCUGGCCCUGUGCCGGGUAGAGCUGAGGAUGCCAAGGUGAAGGUGAAUUCCUCCUGUGCCUGGCCCCGGCCCCAGUCUGCUGGAAGAACCAGACACAGACAAUCACAUUGCGGGGAAACGCGUGCUCCAUCCGAAACGUCCAGAGCAGGGGGUGGGCAGGGAGGCCCAGCGUGCACCAGGACCUUGCUCAGGUCGGCACCAGGCCUGCCUGGAGCAGCCAACUGUGGGAGAAGGAGUUGGUGAAAGAUGGGCCCCACCUGGGCCAUGCACAGAAGGGCUGAGGGGUAGGGGGCGAGGGGUUGAAGAUCAGGCCCUGCCGCCAUGCCACACGGCUGUCCUCUGUCCCUGCCCCUGGGGGAGCUGAAACUGCAUGGAAGGUCCUCCAGGGGUGCCCCGUCUAAUAAACUCGAUGA